GAUGAAGUUUAUGCACAAAUGACACUGCAGCCAGUUCCUUCAUUUGAUAAGGAGGCAUUGUUGAGAUCAGAUUUGUCUAUGAAAGCAAAUAAACCACAAACAGAAUUUUUUUGCAAGACCUUGACUGCCAGUGAUACAAGCACACAUGGGGGUUUUUCCGUCCCUCGACGUUCUGCAGAAAAAAUAUUCCCGCCUCUGGAUUACUCAAUGCAACCACCUGCUCAAGAACUUGUGGCUAGAGACUUGCAUGAUAAUUUGUGGACCUUCCGCCAUAUUUAUCGCGGGCAACCCAAACGCCAUUUGCUAACGACAGGGUGGAG
rnacentral:misc_RNA from 1 species